CUGACAGAACACAGCAAUUUCCCUCUUAAUUUAGAACAGCAUCCUAAGAAUCGGGCUGGCUCUUAAAGACUCGAGAAGACAGC
rnacentral:snoRNA from 1 species